GGACCCUCAGAGCCAGGUGCGGGGUAUAAUCUCGUGGUGCGCCGUUUUUUAAGCCCGUCGGAAAAGCGCAGUAUUCGGGUGGGAGUGACCCGAUUUUCCAGGUGCUGUCCGUCACCCCUUUCUUUGAUUAGGAAAGGAACUCCCUGACCCCUUGCGCUUCCCGAGUGAGGCAAUGCCUCGCCCUGCUUCGGCUCGCGCACGGUGCGCGCACCCACUGACCUGCGCCCACUGUCUGGCACUCCCUAGUGAGAUGAACCCGGUACCUCAGAUGGAAAUGCAGAAAUCACCCGUCUUCUGCGUCGCUCAGGCUGGGAGCUGUAGACUGGAGCUGUUCCUUUUCGGCCAUCUUGGCGCCUCCCUCAGUCCCGGGCUGCAUACAUCAUCAGAGGAGAAUGUUGAUCACCUGUUUCCAAGCCUUGGCAAGGCAAUUCAGGAUAAAUGUUCCAUAAG
rnacentral:lncRNA from 1 species